GAUGACCCAAAUAUGAGAAGCUUCAGACUGACAGGAGUUGGGUUAAAGCCACAUCUUGUGAAGUUGGGAUAUUUUUCCUCCAACAGGAUCCAGAGGAAUCGCAACAAACCAGAAGUUGGACUAGAAUUUCUUUCAAUGUCAUUUGUGAAUGUCAGCUUCUCAUUUUCAACAGUGCAUAUGCAUGUGGGCCACACUUGGCACACCUCAGGGAUGUAACCAAGAGAGGCAAAGAUUGUAACAGGAGUUCAGCUUUUAUCCAUUCUCCAUUCUGAACCCUCACUAAAGGUCACUGUAUUCAGGUUGUCUGUUUACAAAGGUAAA